rnacentral:lncRNA from 1 species
UUUGUUCUUGUUCAUUAAUCUCACGGCUAACCCGGGGGUUUCGCCACAUUAACUUGCCCACAUUAAGUCCAUCAUUGCGGGCCCUCAGCUGCCUCCCGCUAAGAUCGUCCUCGGGUUUACUCCAACCCGUGAUGCAAAACUCCGGAGCGCAUCGCCCGAGGGGGAGCGACCACCCUCGAGCACGGAACUCAUAGCAAGUAUGAUCGAUCCUUAACUCUAAGGAUAUAUAGUUCAAUCAUUGUCUUUACACUAACUCUAGUGUUCUUUACAUCACUUUAUUUUGCUAACUCUAGCAAUCAUCGUUCUUUAACUUUACUCAUUCUUUAUGCCACACUUUGCAUUAACUUUAACCAUUGUCAUUGUUCUUUUCAUCACAUUGAUUCUUUGAUGCCACACACUAACUCUAGUGUCGACUGUAUACUUUCGAAUGCCACUCGAUCUAUGCUCUUGUGUCACUUAGUUCUUUUAUCCCAUUAGGUUCUC